rnacentral:rRNA from 1 species
AGAGUUUGAUCAUGGCUCAGAAUGAACGUUGGCGGCGUGCCUAACCCAUGCAAGUCGAGCGAGAAAGCUCCUUCGGGAGUGUGUAAAGCGGCGGACGGGUGAGUAACACGUGAGAAUCUGCCCUAUAGUGAGGAAUACCCUUGAGAAAUUGAGGUUAAUACUGCAUAAGUCCCUGAGGGGAGAAAGGCGUCUUUUAUGUCGCCGCUAUAGGAUGAGCUUGCGGACUAUCAGCUUGUUGGUGAGGUAAAGGCUCACCAAGGCUAUGACGGUUAACCGGCCUGAGAGGGUGUACGGUCACAUAGGCACUGAGAUACGGGCCUGACUCCUACGGGGGGCAGCAGGGGGGAAUAUUGCGCAAUGGGCGAAAGCCUGACGCAGCGACGCCGCGUGGAGGAUGAAGGUCUUAGGAUUGUAAACUCCUGUCAGAUGGGAAGAAAAGCUUAUGUUUAAUAGAUAUAGGAUAUGACGGUACCAUCAGAGGAAGCACCGGCUAACUUCGUGCCAGCAGCCGCGGUAAUACGAAGGGUGCAAGCGUUAUUCGGAAUCACUGGGCGUAAAGGGUGCGUAGACGGUAUGUUAAGUUUGUUGUUAAAGGCUCCGGCCUAACCGGAGUACUGCGAUGAAAACUGGCAAACUAGAGGGUGAGAGAGAGAAGUGGAAUUCCCGGAGUAGCGGUAAAAUGCGUGGAUCUCGGGAGGAACACCAAUGGCGAAGGCAGCUUCUUGGCUCAUUCCUGACGUUGAGGCACGAAAGCGUGGGGAGCAAACAGGAUUAGAUACCCUAGUAGUCC